rnacentral:misc_RNA from 1 species
AGAGAACCGCCGGCGCAAGCCGGUUCUACCCACACACACCUGUGAACCGUUAUUCAGGAAGGGACUAGCCCCCGGGCGAAACCGACCGACCUUUACAAAACGUCUUACGAUGUCACGAACGUAGUCUUAUUUUAACAAAUA